UGACUAUCUUACUAAGGCGAAAAUCUGAAGCUCAAGCAAAUUCAUGCAUUUCCAUUCUCACCUGGACCCAAGUAAAGACUUCACUUUAGGAGAAACACUGGAGGACCAAUGUGCUUUCUGAAAGAAUAAUACCAACUGUCACCAUUGGGUGGCACCUUCAUCCAUCUAUCUAACGAGAGGAGGGUGAAGAGGUAGUGGGGUGCCCAACCUCCUCCCCCCAACAUCUCACCUUGGUCCCACCUUAUCAACAAACCCCAGGCAAUGGAGCACCCAUCUCCACUCAGGGCCAUGUUCUGCUGCGGAGUCCCACCCAUCGUGAGGAUGAUCCAGCCCCGCAGCCCGCAGCCCGAGCAGGACAGCAGUCCGCAGCCUCCUCUCAAGAAGGAUGUGGAGCUGAUCCUGGUCAAGGAGCAGAACGGCGUCCAGUACACCAGCACCAGCCUCUUGGAGAGCGGCGGCGGCGGCGGCGGCGGCGGCGUUGGCCCCUUCCUCCCCGGAGAGACCCCUUUGCCCGAGAGGGAGACCUGGGCCAAGAAGAUCGACUUCCUCCUCUCCGUCAUCGGCUUCUCCGUGGACCUGGCCAACGUCUGGAGGUUCCCUUACCUCUGCUACAAAAACGGAGGCGGUGCUUUCCUCAUUCCUUACAUCCUCUUCCUCAUCAUUGCCGGGAUGCCUUUAUUCUAUAUGGAACUUGCGUUGGGUCAGUAUAACCGGGAAGGAGCUGCAACCGUAUGGAAAAUCUGCCCACUUUUUAAAGGUGUGGGCUAUGCUGUGAUACUCAUCGCUCUCUAUGUAGGCUUCUACUACAACGUUAUCAUUGCCUGGUCUCUGUAUUAUCUGUUUUCUUCAUUUACAUUUGGGGAACUUCCUUGGACGAAAUGCGGCAAUCCCUGGAACAGUCCGAACUGCACCGAUCCUAAAAAUGCCUCUGCUUUCAUCCCUGGGACCUCUUACGCCAAGUACAAGAUUACACCUGCAGCUGAAUUUUAUGAGCGCCAAGUUUUGCAACUCAACAAAAGCCGUGGGAUCCAAGACGUUGGCAUGCCACGGUGGGAGCUCACACUAUGUCUCUUAGUGGUUGUGAUCGUCCUUUUCUUUAGCCUGUGGAAAGGCGUGAAGACUUCGGGAAAGGUUGUAUGGAUUACAGCCACAUUGCCUUAUCUUGUAAUAUCUGUACUCUUAGUCCGUGGACUGACUUUGCCUGGCGCAUAUGAUGGAAUCAGAGCAUAUCUCAACAUAGAUUUGAGAAGACUUAAAGAAGCCACAGUUUGGAUUGAUGCAGCCACUCAGAUUUUUUACUCUUUAGGAGCUGGGUUUGGGGUCUUAAUUGCUUUCGCCAGCUACAACGAGUUUAACAACAAUUGUUACAGAGAUGCCCUGAUGACCAGUACGAUCAAUUGCGUCACCAGCUUCAUCUCAGGAUUUGCCAUUUUUUCUAUCUUGGGCUAUAUGGCUCAUGAAUACAAAGUUGACAUUAAAGAUGUGGCCACUGAAGGACCUGGAUUGGUUUUCAUCCUUUAUCCAGAGGCAAUUUCAACACUGAAAGGAUCAACAUUUUGGGCAAUUGUAUUUUUCAUCAUGUUGCUUACACUGGGUAUUGACAGUUCUAUGGGUGGCAUGGAAGCUGUCAUCACUGGCUUGGCAGAUGACUUCCAGAUCAUAAAACGACGGAGGAAGCUUUUCACAUUCUGCGUCUCUUUCGGCACUUUCCUUCUUGCUCUCUUCUGCAUAACAAAUGGUGGAAUCUAUGUGCUUACCCUACUAGACACAUUUGCUGCAGGAACAUCCAUCUUGUUCGCUGUUUUAAUGGAAGCCAUUGGCGUUUCUUGGUUUUAUGGUGUGGACAGAUUCAGUGAAGAUAUCCAACAAAUGAUGGGUUUCAAGCCAGGCCUCUAUUGGAGAUUGUGUUGGAAAUUUGUGAGCCCAGCUUUUUUGUUGUUUGUGGUAAUAGUCAGCGUUACAACUUUCAAACCUCUGACCUACGAUGAGUACGUCUUCCCACCGUGGGCCAAUACUGUCGGAUGGGGCAUAGCGUCGUCUUCGAUGAUCCUUGUGCCUGCCUGCAUUCUGUAUAAAUUACUGAAAGCACGGGGGACCUUUAAACAAGGCUGGUUUCAUCCUUUGCCAUCCAGUACUUGAGAAAAAGAAGAAAACAAAUGGCCACUAAGAUUAGACUAGCCUACUGCAUCACACCUGAGAAUGAACACCAUCUUGUAGCAGAAGGGAACGUGAGACAGUUUAAGCUCAAGCAUUGGCUAUCUAUAUGAUGACAGGGAUUUCAAGAGAAGAGUCAGUCUAUUUUAAAGCUAUAUUGGGAAUACCCGAGAAGUCACCACCAAAGUUCUCAACCACGUCUGGUUCUAGAUGACUGGCUGGAAGGCACCAAAGAUCACCUCCGGUUUACUUUGGGUGACCAUUCACCUUCCGCUCUCUGACGCCUGGUCAUUCCAAUUUCUACAAAUGAAUUUCCCAAAUGGCUUGUAUUGUUAUUUUUUAUUUAUUUUUUAUUUAUUUUAACAUUGUUUUUAGCAUGUGCUGACCAAAAAGAAUUGCCUUUGCUAGUGACAGAUGCAAAGGUGGGUGGAUAAUAACCAACUUCUAGUUGGAAGGGUUUUAAAAAAAAUGUGGUGUGGAUCCUGACCAAAAAAAGUUGUCUUUGCUAGUGACCAAAGCAAAGAAAAUAACAAUAAACUUUUAACAGGAGGCAGGGAGAUCAAGAGAAUAUUUCAUACAGACAUGGUUUAGUUGGGAGAAGAUUCUGUAGGCAUUGGCAAGUCUUAAAGAGUUGGAUGUCCAUCAACAGGUUCAUAUGCUCAUGGACAACAUCUAGUUGUGAAACCAUAGAGUUGAUGAAGAUCAUGUAGACCACUGGUAUUCAAACUUUCCACUCCAGUUGCUGUUCUUCAACUCCCAGAAUUUCAAUUGGUAGCUAAGAUGGUCGGGGAUUCUGGAGUUGAAAUCCAAAACACCUGAAGGAGCAAAGCUUGGGAACCAUUGAUAUUGAUCAUCUAACCCAGGCCUGCUCUAUCUGUGGUCCUUCAGGUCUUUUGGACUCCUCUCAUAAGCUCUAGCCAGCUAGUGCAUUGGUGAGGAAUUCUGGGAGAUGAAGUUCCAAAGAUCUGGAGGUCCACAGUAUGUUCAGGCCUACACUUAUUCAAUACCAUUAAUCCAAAUAUCUAACAAAGGACUGCCGAAUCUCUGGAUGACCCUGUUUGAGGACCUCCCCCUUUCACAGCAAUGUCAUCAUGGAGUCAUAGUGAAUUCCAUAAUAAUAGAAAUAGAGGAGGCAUUUUAGGGUACCUAAUCUAAUCCACCAUGUUCUGCUAUACAGUGCAACCCCCGUAUCCACAGGGAUAUGUUCUUGAACUUUGCAUGGGUUCACAAAACUGCAGAUAAUAGCAUGUCGGGCUAUCCUUCUCAUCUUCUUGCAGUGGUUCAGUGUUGCCCAACACAAUGUUAGAAAUGGAUUUCAGAAAUAGGUUGCUUUGUCCCUUUACCUGCAAAAGAUACACUCCAGGAUGUUGUGUGGAUAUGUGAAAUUGCCAGCAAUUCAUAUGCAUUUAUGAACUGAGUUCCUUCUUUCUCCAAAGAGUUGACUGGUAACUUCAUCUCUCUUCCAAACAUCAAAUAAGCAGAUGCAAACCAAAUGAAAAUUAGGAUUGCAUUAUUGCAGAGAAACAUUACUUCUGACAGAUGUUCUGACCAAUGUGUUCUUUCAUCCUCAGUUAAUCUGCUUAGCAAAUUUUGUAUCACUCGAUCCACUCUUUCACACAUUCCAUUUCCCUGAGGGAAGUAACUCCAUAAUAUGUACUUUCUUUCAUCCAAAAAAAAAAUUGACACAAAUCCAUGAAUAACCAAGACUCUGUUGGAAUUUGGGUAUGUGUUGUGUAAGAAAGGCUUUAGUGUCAAUCCAGAAGGAGAUUGCUUCGAACGAUUCCCCUGUAAACUGUGAGAAGUGGUCUACUACUGUAAGUCAAUAUUAAUGCUUUCUUGUGUGCAUAAGCAAUUUUAAAUUUCCCAAAGCCACUGACUCCGAGGGUUGUCUGACAAGAAUAGGCAGUAGAGGAUGUUUUCUUUCUUACACUAACCCAUUUUUCAGGGUUCGGGUUUUACUCUGAAUAAUUUGAUUCGUAAUAUCCAUUCAAAUAUUUGGCUAGUAAAACCAAGCUUCGGAGACAGCUUCGGUUUCUCCUGUUGGAUGAUAUUUCUAAGGGAACCACUAUUUGAGUCAUCUUUUUCAAUUGUCUUUGUUAGGAAAUUACUCUGAAUAAUUUCUCUUUGCUUAAGAGUGUUUCCUAUUGCUUUAACCGAUCCCAUGUUACUUUCUUUAGGCAACUUCUCUUAUCUCAGAUUUAACUAUCCUUUUUUUAAAAAUAUCAGGCACGUUUUUCAUACUGUUUCUGCACAUCUUUAUUGUCAUUUCCUUCAACUACUGCCUUACUUACUUAGGAGAUCCCUUGUUGUAUGAGUAUGAUGACCUUCCAAGUGUCUUGGUGGUGGAGACAUAGGUGACUAUGGAGCCCUAUUCUUGACCUGCAUGUUCUUCCACAGUAAGGGCAUUGGUUUCUAGGUGGAAGGUGGUCCCAGUCAGGGUUGGUUUGACAUGCCUUCCUCUUGGCACAUUUCUCCCUAGCCUUCUAUUCAUACCUCUUCAAAUUCCACAGUACUGCUGGUCACAGCUGACCUCCAGUUAGAGCACUCAAGGGCCAGGGCUUCCCAGUUCUUGGUGUCUAUGCCACAGUUUUUCAGGUUACCUUUAAGCCCAUGUCUAAAUCUCUACCACUAAGAUGCCUGGUAGACAGACAAUUGUGGCUUUUCCCAUGAUAAACAUCUUGCUUUAAUAGCUUCAGUUGGUGGAUAAACCUAUGAGGACAUCCUCACCACAUCUGGCCUCACAUUCCACAUCUGGCCUCACUUCUCUACUCUACUGAGGAUUAAUCUGGACAGGGCAUCAUUAUCCAAAGCCAAAUAAAAAUUGCUUGAAUGUAGAAGAUCCAAAUCCAUUGAGUUUGGCUCUUUCCAUAGAGAUCUGCUCAGCAGGAUUAUUAAUUGUUACCUCUUUUCGUGGAGCAAAUUUUGAAAAUUGUAUAGGCAUUUGUGAAUGCCUCACCAGUUAUGAAAUUCAGUUUUCAUAUUGAUUGUUGUUUCAUUUUGCUCGAUAUUGUCCAUGUGACGUGGCAGCAAGUCUCUAGGGGUUCAGACAGGAUUUUCUUUUUCCUCAGCUCUACUUGGAGAUGACAAAGACUGGACCUACAAUUUUCUAUCUUAAAUGCAGAUGACUCCACCAUUGAAUUACAAAUGUUCCCUUAUUUAUUCUGGUUCUGUCUCACAGGGUUCUUUUAUCUGCACCAGGCAAUACUUCCGUUUGGAGUGUUUCAGCAGAUUUGUAGCUUGGUGAAUGAAGCACUAAGGUCUUCUGCCUGAGAAAUUCCAAAAGCCCCAACCAAAACUACAAAACAUAGGAUUCCAUGGGAUGGAAGCAUAGCAACUAAAGUAAAAACAAUAGCACUAUAAUUGCAUACUAUGGAUGAAUCCCUAGUUUUCAGCUUACAAGUACUGCUAGACCUGAGCUAAGACAAGAACAGGGGUACAUCUUGUGAACCAUAUUCAUACGCUGGAAAAGAACCCAUCUUUGCGGAUGACAGUUGACAACUCUUGGUGACAACACAUACCCAUGGAGUCUUGGUGGUUACUAAAGGCCCAGCUAACCCAAUAUUCUGGCAGACAGAUGUCUUCAGGGAAUACACAAACCAAAGUACAGAACAAAUAAGCCUUUCUCAGGAUGCAUUAGGGUGGAGACAUGGAAUACAGUAGAGUCUCACUUAUCCUAGACUCGCUUAUCCAACGUUCCGGAUUAUCCAAGGCAUUUUUGUAGUCAAUGUUUUCAAUAUAUCAUGAUAUUUUGGUGCUAAAUUCGUAAAUACAGUAAUUACAACAUAACAUUACUGCAUAUUGAACUACCUUUUCUGUCAAAUUUGUUGUAUAACAUGAUGUUUUGGUGCUUAAUUUGUAAAAUCAUAACCUAAUUUGAUGUGUAAUAGGCUGUUCCUUAAUCCCUCCUUAUUAUCCAAGUUAUUUGCUUAUCCAAGGUUCUGCCAGCCUGUUUAGCUUGGAUAAGUGAGACUCUACUGUAAUAGUACUCCGACUGCCCAUUGUGAGUGGACAUCCAACUCCUUUUCAAACACUUUCCUUCACAAUUCAGUUUCAAGAUCUGUCAACCAUGAACUGAAAGAGAGGGAUCCAAAGCCCUGUCCCAAUGAGAGGUCUGUAAGUAGAUGUGUUUUUUGAAUCCUGACCUGUGAGCUUAUUGGGAAGUUUCUCAAUUGUGUGUUUCCUCAACAGCCACUCUCAAAUACUGCCCAAGUAUCAUAUAGUAGCCUCAUUUUCAAGUCUGCCUUAUUGGGAAGAGCUCUAUAGCAAGGCUUUUCUUGGUUAAUGCCAACCAAGGUUUUGGUUUAGGAUUGCUUUGCUUAAUUUGUAAUGCCUUUUUAUAACAAAAGGUUCAAUAAGGGUACCUCUGUGUAUAUCAGUAUUUUUAUCUGUUUUUACCUGUGACAAAAUGGGGAAAAACGUAUACCGUAAAAUGAAACGUUGUAUGCUUUUACGUGGAAAGCACUCAUGCAACUCAACCCUCCAGUCCAUCUGAUUAGCUAAACCUGACUGCUAGAUCUUUUCUGGCAAGAUGGUUUGCCUUUGGACCUUCAAUGUUGUGUGGUUAGAAAGGAAAAUGACACAUCUACGUUAACAGUGUUGUGAGCUGCGGUGUAAUAUUCUCCAAAGCUGCCUUAAUAUCUGAUAGAGGAAGUCCUGUGUGUUUGUAGUUUAUAUUCCCAAGAAACCAGAGAUUAUUUUUAAGUGUAAGUUUGUCGUAGAAAAUUAUGUGUAACCAAAAUGGUGCAGAAUGGAAGGAGAAACACAACUUAUCCGCUCACUAUGAAAAAUAGCCUCCCUUGACAAAAUACACUCAGAUUUCUUGCAGGUUGUGGUUCCAAUUGAUUGCACUGUAUUGGAUGAUUUCCCUCAGUUGAGAUUAGCAUGAAAGCCACCUUAAGUAGGGGGUUGUUGUAUGUUUUCCGGGCUGUAUGGCCAUGUUCCAGAAGUAUUCUCUCCUGACGUUUCACCCACAUCUAUGGCAGGCAUCCUCAGAGGUUGUGAGGUAUAUUGGAAAACUAAGCAAGGGAGGUUUAUAUAUCAGUCUGCCAUAGAUAUGGGCGAAACAUCAGGAAAGAAUGCUUCUGGAACACAGCCAUACAGCCCGGAAAACAUACAACAACCCUAUGAUCCCGGCCAUGAAAGCGUUCGACAACACACCUUAAGUAUCCUAUCCCCUGAGUUUGCCAAAACCCUUCUUCAUAUUCAAUAUGGAGUCAUGGAACGAGGAAAGACUAUGGCUGGAAUCCUAUUGAUAAGUCCCAACUAGAAUAGAGCACCAGUGUCCCACCAGUGGGAGCAAGGCAUUGUGAGAGGACGUGGAAGAAGGCCUUCUCUUUGGUGGCAUCCCACUUAUGGAAGACCCUCUCCCUCAAAGCCAAACUGGCACUCACGUUGGUGUAAUUCCAGCUGAAUGUCAACUCCAUGAAUUUUAAUUACGUAUAACCAAAUGUUGUUCUAUGGUUGUCAUUCUCCUAAAUAGUUUUAAGUGUAAUUGGCCCUCCAUAUCCAUGUAGGAAGGAGCUCUGGCAUGGGCUGGUCCAUGAGGUCACAAAGAAUCAGAAGCGACUGACUGAAUAAAUAACAGCUACAAUAAUAUCCAUGGGGGGUCAAUUUUUGCCUCAAUUCGCUUCUGACAUGAUACAAAAAAUUCCAAGUAGAUUGCCAAAUCUUCAAAUGGUCAUGUUGCAGUAGUCAAAAUUGCAUAGUACAUACUGUAUUUGUGAGACUGGAGGGAAACACGAAACUGUAGAAAGAAUGAAUAUCUGUGAAAUUAUGGGACACACGAAUUCAUGCCAAGCAUUGAUUCUCACCAUUUCCCAGUUCCACAGUCUCUACAAACAAUACACAACACAAGUAGCCAAGUACAUGCUAUACUUGCAAGACUGGAAAAGUUUAUAAAGUGGCGGGAGUCCAAACAGAGUGCUCAACCUCCCUGCCAUUAAAAAAAAGACAAAUACAACCAAUAGCCAUCCAAUAACCUUGCUCUAGUUAAAACUUGAGAUGUCUGAAAGUUACAUUUUGUUUCAUUUUAUGGAUUCUCCAUCUACCCAUGAUCAUGGGAACAAUUCUACAUCCCUGCAUAUGAAACCGGGAAUAGCUGUGUUUCAUUUCAUUAUGGAGAUAAGUGUGGUGUAUGCACUGGUUGACUAUAUUUGAAACGUUGGUCAAAUCAUUGAAUGUUGAGUAUUUGUCCUCUUUUUUUCCUGUCCUUAUGUGGAACCUUGUAAAUAAGAGUCAGGUUUUCUUUUUAAAGAAAAGAGAAACAAGCUGUGCACUGUAAAUGUAUAAGGUCUAUACAAAUAUUGUGUUACAAAGUCUUAUUUAAGUUGACAUAGAAAUAUGCACUACAAAGAAGUAUAUACAAUAAAGAGUAUCUUCUGUACCAACCUA